GGCAGCAGCCGCGGUAACACCGGCGGCCCGAGUGGUGAUCGUGAUUAUUGGGUCUAAAGGGUCCGUAGCCGGUUUGGUCAGUCCUCCGGGAAAUCUGAUAGCUCAACUAUUAGGCUUUCGGGGGAUACUGCCAGACUUGGAACCGGGAGAGGUAAGAGGUACUACAGGGGUAGGAGUGAAAUCUUGUAAUCCCUGUGGGACCACCUGUGGCGAGGGCGUCUUACCAGAACGGGUUCGACGGUGAGGGACGAAAGCUGGGGGCACGAACCGGAUUAGAUACCCGGGUAGUCCCAGCCGUAAACGAUGCUCGCUAGGUGUCAGGCAUGGCGCGACCGUGUCUGGUGCCGCAGGGAAGCCGUGAAGCGAGCCACCUGGGAAGUACGGCCGCAAGGCUGAAACUUAAAGGAAUUGGCGGGGGAGCACAACAACGGGUGGAGCCCUGCGGUUUAAUUGGACUCAACGCCGGACAACUCACCGGGGGCGACAGCAAUAUGUAGGCCAAGCUGAAGACUUUGCCUGAAUCGCUGAGGAGUGGUGCAUGG
rnacentral:rRNA from 1 species